GAACCCUUGCUCACACAAUGACUUAUCUUUAUUGAUAUUAUACUUAUUUUUAUUGAUAUAUUUAAUUUAUCAAUCUUGAUAUUGUGAAUGAACAAGAGCAGCAUUUACUUAACUUCUUAGCCUAGUGGUUAUUCAUAUUGUAAUAUGUAGUUUGGUGAUCUAUUCUAUUCUGAUUUGUUUCUUCUCUUUCUCUGCAGGUUCCUUAAUCCCUGUCCUUUCCAAAUACUGAAUAUUAGCAGCAUCUUAUAACAUAAAAAAGGCACUUUUCAGAGCCACGUUUGUCUUGUUUAUUGUCUUAUUUGUAUUGUUUCUUGUCUUGUUAUUUGUCUCCCUCCUUCCCUCUCUCUCCCUCCCUCUCUCCCCUACCCUCUGAGUGGUGGUCGAGAAUACCUGUUUAGAGGGACGCAGAACCUGGGUUGCUGCCUCUUCUUCACUCCCCGCAAUCCACUCAAAGUGUAAAGAAUGACAAAGCCAAAAUCUAGGCCCUGCCCAAGCUGCCAGGUCCAUCAGCAGGCCAACCGCAAAACCUGCAGUGCUUGUUUCGCCACGCUGCCAAGCAAGCGGAUAUUAAAAACGGCACACAUUAAUGAUGACUAGAGCCAGAGGGUCAUCAAAAACAAAAAUGCAUCGCGGGUGGUGGCCUCUGCCCAAAUUGCUGUCCAAAAACUUUCUGCCUUGGGCUAUAUGCCCAUAUUCUUCUUCAGCCAGAGGCACAAGGGCACAGGCAAGUUGGUGGCAAACGUGGUCACGCAUCUGCCACCAACGCAAACCAACACGCGUUUAUUAACCAGCAUGAAGAAGGCCUACAACUUCAUUAUCAAACUUGAUGAUGUGGCCUAGCCCCAGCCCCAGCCCCAGCAAGACCAGCACCUCCCCCAAGACCAGCCCUAUCCCCAAGA